rnacentral:rRNA from 1 species
AUUGCACAAUGGGGGAAACCCUGAUGCAGCCAUGCCGCGUGUGUGAAGAAGGACCUUCGGGUGUAAAGCACUUUCAGUAGGAGGAAGGUAGUGUAGUUAACACCUGCACUAUUUGACGUUACCUACAGAAGAAGCACCGGCUAACUCCGUGCCAGCAGCCGCGGUAAUACGGAGGGUGCGAGCGUUAAUCGGAAUUACUGGGCGUAAAGCGCAUGCAGGCGGCCUGUUAAGUCAGAUGUGAAAGCCCGGGGCUUAACCUCGGAAUUGCAUUUGAAACUGGCAGGCUAGAGUCUUGUAGAGGGGGGUAGGAAUUUCAGGUGUAGCGGUGAAAUGCGUAGAGAUCUGAAGGAAUACCAGUGGCGAAGGCGGCCCCCUCGGACAAAGACUGACGCUCAGAUGCGAAAGCGUGGGGAGCAAACAGGAUUAGAUACCCUGGUAG